ACUAUAUGCCCCGGGCUUGAUCCCAACCCUAAUAAUCUAGUGGCAAGCACAACCUUCUACUCAGAAAACACAAGACCCAUGCUCUGUUUGGCAAGGAUUGAAACAGACCCAGCGGACAGGACCCAACUGCGGUUGACAGUAGCCAGGAGAUUCAACUCAAACAUUUGAGUUGAAAGAAUUCAUUAAAGAACAAUUAAUUGCCAUUCCAAUGGGCUCUCGAGCUCUGGUUCCAGCGGUGCCAGUACCAGCUGCACCUUUAGCUCAACCGCCUAGCCCAGCGGUGGAUGCUAAUGAUCCAGGAGCUAUUUUAGCGGGUUUACUUUGAUUCGACCUGGUAAGACAAACGCUUGCAGUUUCACGAUGUGAAGAUCAUCUCUGAUAUGCAUGAGUAAAAUCAGAAGAUGUGAGAGGGCUUGCAGAGGCAGAGUAAUAGUGAGCUAGUUUUAUCCAAUUAAUUAAUGCCUCUGUCCGUCUGUUUGCGAGUUUGGUCUGUAGAUCCCGUUCUGAUCUAUACAGAUUGUAAUUUUGCAUUCUUUAUGCACACGUUUUGUUUUGGGUGUGUAUCCUCUUUUAUCCUUU